CAGAGAUGUCCAGAUGAGGCUUGAUGCCAAGGAACCAUGUCACAAAGUACCAAAACUACGCAACAAAAUAAUCAGAGUGCUGUAUGAAAUGAUGGCAGAAUACACCCUGUAUCCAACCAACGCAGAAUAUAUUCAAGUUGCCAAAGCACUGAUUAUGAAAUACCCUUUCCUGAGAGAUAUGGAGGGGAAUGGCUAUCACACCUGGCACAUGUCCCUAAAGCGGAAAUUUAAAGCAGAACGUGCACCACUUCUCAGCGACAGUGAAGUCAGAAAGCUGAAAGAGAAGUUUGGCCACACAAGACAGUCCAAAGCCACCAGUGCAUCAAUGAGUUUGUGC